CUACGGGGCGCUGCAGUGAGGAAUAUUGCACAAUGGAGGAAACUCUGAUGCAGCAACGCCGCGUGGAGGAUGACACUUUUCGGAGCGUAAACUCCUUUUAUAUAGGAAGAAGAUGACGGUACUAUAUGAAUAAGCUCCGGCUAACUCCGUGCCAGCAGCCGCGGUAAUACGGAGGGCACAAGCGUUACCCGGAAUCACUGGGCGUAAAGAGCGUGUAGGCGGAUUAAAAAGUCAGAAGUGAAAUCCUAUAGCUUAACUAUAGAACUGCUUCUGAAACUCUUAAUCUAGAAUAUGGGAGAGGUAGAUGGAAUUUCUGGUGUAGGGGUAAAAUCCGUAGAGAUCAGAAGGAAUACCGAUUGCGAAGGCGAUCUACUAGAACAUUAUUGACGCUGAGACGCGAAAGCGUGGGGAGCAAACAGGAUUAGAUACCCGCGUAGUC
rnacentral:rRNA from 1 species